rnacentral:lncRNA from 1 species
CUAUCCAUCUUUCCAUUUAUCCUUCAACCACCCUCUCAUCCAUUCUCCCAUCCAUACCCCAUUCAUCUUUUCACCCAUCCUCCCAGCCAUCCUCCAUCCACACUUCAUCCAUCCUUCAUUCCUCCUCUCAUCCAUCCUUCCAUUCUCUUAUCCAUCUUCCAUUUAUUCCUCUGUUCACCCUGCCAUUUAUCCUCCCAUUCACUCUCCAAUCUAUCCUCCAUCCAUUCUCCAUCCAUUCUCCCAUCCAUUUUUCCAUCCAUCCUCCAAUUCAUUCCUCUGUCUAUCCCCAUCCAUCAUCACCAUCCUCCCAUCCAUUCUCCCUUUUGUUCUCCAUCUAUCUUUCCAUCCAUCCUUCCAGCAAUCCUCCAUCCAUCCUUCAUCCAUCUUCUGUUCAUCCUCCAUUCAUUCUCUUUCCACUUUCCCAUCCAUCCUCCCUCCAUUCUCUAUCCAUCCUCUCAUCCAUUUUUUCCUUCCAUCCUCCAUCCAUUCUCCCAUCCUUUUGUCGAUCCUCCCAUGCAUCCUCCCAUCCAUCUUUCAUUUCAUCCUUCAACCACCCUCCCAUUCAUCCUCUACUCAUCUUUUCAUCCAUCCUCCCAGCCAUUCUCCAUCCAUCUUUCAUCCAUCCUCCAUCCAUCUUCCAUUCAUCCACCCAUCCACCCUCCCAUCAAUCCUCCCAUCUUUCUUUCCAUUCAUCUUUCCUCUAUUUCUCUGUCCACCCUCUAUCCAUCCUCCCAUCCAUCUUUUCAUCCAUCCUCCCAUUCAUUCCUCUGUCUAUCCUCCCAUGCAUUCUACCAUCCAUUUUCUCAUCUAUCCUUCAUUCAUCCUGUCAUCCAUCCUCCCAUCCAUCUUUCCAUCCAUCCACCCAUCCAUCCUUCAUUCAUCCUCCCAUUCAUUUUUCCAUCCAUCCUCCCAUUCAUCCAUUCUCCCUCUAUCCUCCCAUCCAUCCUUUCAUCCAUCCUUUCGUCAAUUUUCUCAUCAAUGCUCCCAUCCAUCUUUCCAUUUAUCUUCCAUC